rnacentral:rRNA from 1 species
UACGUAGGGGGCUAGCGUUGUCCGGAAUCAUUGGGCGUAAAGAGCGUGUAGGCGGCCCGGUAAGUCCGCUGUGAAAGUCGGGGGCUCAACCCUCGAAUGCCGGUGGAUACUGUCGGGCUAGAGUGCGGAAGAGGCGAGUGGAAUUCCUGGUGUAGCGGUGAAAUGCGCAGAUAUCAGGAGGAACACCGAUUGCGAAGGCAGCUCUCUGGACGGAUACUGACGCUGAGGCGCGAAAGCGUGGGGAUCAAACAGG